ACGAAACCUAAACGGAGGCAUGAAUGUCACUCACUUCAGUUCUGUUGACUGUGGAAAUUGGGAAAACCAACACCGGCGGAAGUCGGUCAACAUCGACGGAGGCUUUAAGUCUUCUUUUCUGUCCAUCUUUCUCGCAAUGAAUCAAAGGAAGCUGCUUCUCAAUGAGAGAGUGGAGGUUAGGCAAUUUGAGGAAGGACUGCGAGGCUCUUGGCACCCUGGUGUGGUUGUUGGUGUCUCCAAAUUAUGCCGUUCUGUUGAAUAUGAUGAACUCUUGAGUGAAACAGGUGACUCAAAGCUCGUCGAGUCGAUCCCUGUCACAGAGGCAAUUGAAGGCCUUCAUUCUCGCCGUCAUGUUCCGUCAACAUAUCGUGGGCAUAUUCGACCUUCACCUCCAUCAUCUGAUAAAAAGUUUUCUUUUGGGGUCUGUGUUGAUGUCUUGUUUGAGGAUGCAUGGUGGGAAGGUGUUGUUUUUGAUUGUCAUGAUGAUGCAGAUGAGCGGUUAGUGUUUUUUCCUGAUGAGGAUGAUGAGCAAAAAUUUAGCACAAGUCACUUGCGUUUAGCUCGAGAUUGGGAUGAAUUCUUGGGUAUUUGGCGUGAACGUGGUGUUUGGAUUUUGGUGCGGUUGGCCAUGGAGCUUGAGGGACAUGUUCCCUCAUCUAAUUAUGUUAAAAAGAUUUGGUCAUACUUGCGGUUAAAUUAUGGGUUUAAUAAAAUGAUAUCAGAGUGGACUUGUGGUGCUCGAAAUGUUUGGAGAAAGUACUACAUGGAUGUUGUUCAUGAAACUGCAGUUGAAUCAAGCCGACAGGUUCUUCAUGAUCUGAAUCUGACUCCUGUAAUGGAGAAAAAAGGAAAGACAGCAAAAGACUCUAAGCGUGUUAAGAUAAUGUCAGGAUUAUAUAUUACUUCUCUGAAGGAAAGAAAUCGUGGUGCGUUGAACGUUUCCAGAUCAAGUCAAAAAACACAAGAGAAAUAUUUUCCGCAUGAAUGGCCCCGAAACAAGAGGACUUUGAAGUCGAAAUCGAGGUCUAUGAAGUGGUCAUCAAUAACUAUUACUAAAAAGAGUAGCUUUCAUGCUGAUAAUUGUUGUGGUGGAACACAAGUAAUAGAUCUUUCAUCAUCCACAAUGAAUGAUAAUGUGAAAGCUAAAACUGAUAACAUCUCUGGUAAUUCUUUUGGUCUGGAUAAAGUGGCAAAUUCUGUUUCGCUGUCCACACAAAAUAAGCAUCCUGGUGAAGUGAAAUUAGAUGUAGAGAAGAAAAAAAAUCUUAAAGUUUGUGAAGUUGAUGGUAACCAGUGCUUGGUUGAUUGUUCAGAACAAGAGAAAAUUGUUCAUGUUAAAAAGAAUGGGUCAAUUAGGAGAAGGGAAAAUUUGACCAAGUCUAGACAAAUCAAAAUAAAUCUUGCUAUUAAUUUUCCCAACUGCAGUCGAAAGCUGCGGAAGAAGAAGCCUUCACUUGUUACUGUCACGAAGCAGAGAAAAUGUUCAUCAACAAAGGAAAGGGUCUCAAAGGAAUUUCAGCGUGCCAAUUCAAAAUUAAAGUCUUUAUCUAAGGUGGAAGAGAAGGUAGUAGAUAUUAAACCAGCUAAGAAUGAUUUAUCCAUUGAUCAAUGCCAUCGUGCUCUGCCUAUCAAGAAUUGUAGGAAGAGUGUUAGUCCUAAAAGUAAGAGGUCUCAUCCUAGGAAGAGUAAAAGGAGGAGGGGAUUUUGUGGCAUUGGUGACACCAUAUGUAGUUUUUGUCACUAUGGGGGAGAUCUUAUGUGCUGCAACAAGUGCCCAUCUUCAUAUCAUUUGAGUUGCCUUGACCUCAAGGAUGUUCCACAUGGAAAAUGGCUUUGUCCGUCUUGCUGCUGUGGGCUAUGUGGCAAAGGUGACAAUUCACUGUUCAAUAAUGCUUGUCUGCAGUGUGGCCGCACAUAUCAUGUGUACUGCUUGAGUAAAGCUAGAUGUUUGCUUCCUAUGGACUAUCCAUCAGAGAAUUUUUGCAGCAAAGCUUGCUAUGAGUUAUGUGCCCAACUUCAUCAACUUUUGGGAAUUUCAAACCCUACUUUUGUGGAUGGCUUGACAUGGACAUUGACAAGAUCAUCGAAAAAUGUUUACAGUUUUCCUGGUAUAUCAAGGAGUAAUACUUGCAUCAAGUUAUCUCAUGUUCUCAGGGUUAUGCAUGAGUGUUUCAUACCAGUUAAGGACCCUCAUACCAAGAGAGAUCCAGUUAGAGAUCUUGUUUACAAUUCAGGGUCCAAACUUAGAAGGUUGAAUUUUCAUGGAUUUUAUGCUAUUGUUUUGCACAGAGGUGAUGAAAUUGUAUCUGUUGCCACAGUGAGAAUCCAUGGACUAAAGGCUGCAGAGAUGCCUCUUGUUGCUACCCCUUUCCAAUAUCGUCGACAGGGAAUGUGUCGACUUCUUUUGCAUGAGCUGUUGAAGUUGCUCACCAAAUUAGGUGUUGAGAGAUUAGUCUUGCCGGCAAUAGCUCAGUUGAGAAAGACAUGGGAAACCUCCUUUGGAUUUUCGGAAAUGCAUAAAUCUGAAAGGCUACAACUUUCAGGCUAUUCCUUUAUGGGAUUUCAGGGGACCAUCAUGCUGCAGAAAGUUCUUAGCAGUUCUGGGCUAGCAAAUGAAACAAAAGGAACAUGUCAAGAUUCCAAAGAAAGUUCAUCUAGUAUAUGUCUGGAGCAUAAUUAUGGGGCUAACAUUGAGAGCAGAUUCUGUGGCUUAUUUUAUCGGCGCAAGGAAAAAGCAAAAAUUAUUGGGAAAGAAAAUAUGGUCAAUGGCUGCAAUGGGAACAUGCAAAUGUAUGCUCAAGUGUACAAGCGGAGGCGUAUACUAGGUUGCAGAGAGUGAACAAUCGCUGGUGACUCUUGAAGAAGGAAUCUCGACCUUACAUCAUCUAGAGGAACUGCAACAAAGGUAAAAUGCAAAAUGUGCUAAACGUCGUUUACUGUUUAUUAAAUGGUUUUAGGUUUUUAUAGUUGAAAAUGUUAGUGUUGUCGUUGAUUUCUAGGAAAAUAGAUACUUUAUGAACUUUUUCUUGUAUGUACUGAAUAAUGGUAACAAGUGGUCGCCCUCCAUUCUUGUGCUUAUAAGCAGUAAAUAAUUUGACAUAUAUAAUAUGAUUUUGAGUAUGUGGUUUGCUUCUUUUGAUGCUUACUGAUCAGUUUGUAUUUUGGCUAGUUUAGUUGAUUUAACAUUUAAUUAUCAAGGUGGAUGGGAAUGUAGAAAUGCUGCAUAUUUUUAUAAGGAUGGAGAUGCUAACAUAUUGCCAAGCUUUAACCUUGGUUUUCCGUUGUUUAUAGAUAUUGGGGAAGGUCUGAAAAUUAACGUUGAAUUUAGGUUCUAGCUGAAAGCUAGGAUGAACAAGAAUUUAGGUGAAGAAUUAGGGCUUAUUAAAGGAUGGAUUUAGAAGUGAAUUUAACUGAGAGGAGAUUUGUGGAUUGUGAAUAGUAAAAUAAAUUGGUUAGGCUUCAUAAUUAAGACUUACUUAGCCAUCAGACUUGGGGUUUGACGCGGGGCUUGUCUUCACAAUCCCGCAAAUUACAUGCGUAGGGCGCAUACCAGCAGAUUACACACACCCAGGGUGUGUCUGUGAUGGGUCAGCAGUAUGCAGCUUCAUUUUUUCACUCCAAACUUGCCCACAAAUUUUGUCAAGAUAUAGCUACAGAUUUAGUUUAGAUUUAGUUUUCCUAUUUUAAUUAGGAUAGUUAUUUAAGUUCCUAUCUUAGUUGUUAAAGGUGCACCGGAGGCACAAGGCGCACGAGGCUUAGUAUCUAGCGCCCCAACACCCAAAAGGCGGGUGACCUUCACCAGGCACACCAAUGCACGCCUCGUGCAGGUUAGGCCCAAUCAGCCCUUAAUAGAAGACAAAGGAACAAAAUAAGUGGUUUCUCACAUGUAUCACCUUCGGCAGACCUAGUGAAGCAAAUAC
rnacentral:misc_RNA from 1 species